UGUGUGACAGAGUAAGCUAAUAUGUUUGAAMAUCUAAUUAAUUAUGUUUCCUCAAACCAAUUCCCUGCCAUUUUACUCGUAUGUUUGUUUCCUCCCAUUUAAAUCUUCCUUCCUGCUUUGACAAACAAGGCCUGUUUUUUUAAUCCUCGUUGUCAUGCCAUGUUGAAACAUCAGGGUCACCUGCCUCUGCCUCAGUUCAGUGUUGACUUUGACAGAUUUCACCUUCCAGUAUUCACUGAGGUCAUUUCCAGCAAAACCCAAAUCAAACAUCCCUGAACUGCCAUAGCACGGGUGGGUCAAAGAACAUGUACUGUACUUAACAAGUGAUAGAUGGGUCACUUGACUCCUGUGCUUGAUGUGGGAGGAGGAGAAAAACACUAGAAUUUCUGCUCUGCUCUAGAUCAGAAUCAAUAACGUUCUUGUGAUGCUAAGUGGUGGGCUUCAAUGUAAAUUGUAAAUAACAUAAUGUAAAUCGUAUUGAUUUGUCCCCCCCCCCCCAAAGGGUUUGUUUGACCGAUGUUGGACUUCACGAAAGUGAUGUUCUGUAUUUUAAAGUGAUUUGCCAGGUUGCUAAUAUACAUGUGUCAUCAAUUGUAGGGUCUGACUAGGGCAUAGACACCAAGACUGCAGCUUUGUUAUUUUUACACUGAUCUGAAUGGUUGUGAAUUGAUGACCCACACUUGAGGUGAGGGYUGUGCCAACAAGUGCAAAGUUGCCUUUUCUUGCGGGAAACGACCGAUUCAUUUGUGUUUAUGCAUGCAUUGUGCAUUGGUACAAUAGUCAUGCAACUUUACAGCAUCAGUAUUUCGACGUUCAUUCCCGUUACAGAGAUAAUCUGGAAUUGGUACAUCCAUUUCUGGCUUUAGGGGAAUGCAGUUAAAUGGUAGAGGAACAGGUUAUAGAUUAUGCCUUAAAACUGAUUAUUGUAAUCAAGUCAAAUUAGCGUCACAGGAAAAUGAUUUCUCCUGAUUAUUUAAUUUAGAAAAAUAGUAGCGUGCUAUGUAGGCCUAUGCAUACUAACAUGUUAACUUUGGUAUUACUUGGAUGCUUGCCAGGCACUAGCCAGGGCACUUGACUGUUUCUGCAUUCAACAAAGUUAGCCAUAUCAAUGCCUUGCCAAUGCAAGACAACAACUAGUUAGCUAAAGCCAAAACAGACUGGCACCCAAGCUAGCCAAACACACCCCUAUAAUUCAACAGAUGGUAAAACUCUAAAAAGACAUUCGGGAAUUGGUACCACCCUCUAUUCUUGCUGAUACCACAUUCCCAUAAUAGACACAGAGAGAGUGAUAUAUAAAGACCAUGGUGAAAGAAAAAGAGUGUUAAAGAUAAAACCAAGGAUUGAACGGCCAAACACAGAAAACGGGGUCGACAGCCUUUUGAAUGAGGGUAAACAACAGAAAGUCCAAGUUCUCUGGCCUUGACAGGGGAACACAGAGGAUAAAUCUGUUGGCCAAUUAACUGAGCCGUGUGCUGCUACUUCAAAUGCAGUCCACUGCCUGCCACUGAGAUUUACACGCUUUUCAUCUGCGGGCUUUAGGGGAGAAAGAGUUCCAUUUUAAUCAGUCCACAGCAUAUUUAUAUUAGUGCCUCGUGGGAUUGUUUAUGCAAAAUAAAAAAAAUAAACAGAUCCUUUCAACACCUUUCAUGCACUGUCCACACAGCACCGGACCUGGGUUCUAGUAGUGUAAAAAAUAUUUAAAUACUUUUAGCUGUGCUUGACUGAGCAUACCUGGCACAACUGAACCAAUGGAAUAGCCCCAAAAGUGCCAACACAACCCAUCAUGCUCUCAAGGCAGGUUCAAGCAAACACUCAAAAGAUUUGAAAGAUUUUAAGCACUAUUUGAACCCAGGUCUGUUGUGCAUACUCACUCAGCACGGUGGUUUCCCCUAACGUUAUUGUACCAGAGAUAGGCAGGCUAUCGGCCCAUUCUCCUUAGAAGACCCACCGAUUAAACUACAGUAAAAAUAGCACUUGAGGAGUGAUUAAAUUGUGUUCAGCUGUUGAAUGCGGAAUGAGGCAGCCGUCAGUUUGUUGUUUUAUAAAGUUUUGAAAGUGUCUGAAAAAGUGUUGUAUUGUAAAAGUUUGGUUACUAGCUAGCUACCUUUUGAUUUGGAUCCCGUGACGCGGUUGGCAUCAGUUGCUGGGACUGCUGCUAUCUGUCCAGGGAUCCUGCUGACCGAGGGUCUUUUGAUGAGCUGCUAUCAAGCUAGCGGGGUUUCCUUGAGGGCUUGAACGCAGCCCGCGACGUGGUUAGCCCUUGUGGCUGGAACCGUGGAUUGUCCUGUGCUUGGGGCUGUCUACAUCCCUACAGUUUGUUGCUGUUUCCAUCUUCCCUGUGWCCUGCCCUGUCCGGAAUUGCGGGGAGUAACAGCAUAGCCUACGUUGCUACCAUUAUAAAAACCAAAUCCAGUGGGAGUAUCGUUGAGGACAGUGGGGUCUCUCUAUCAUAGGUGAAAGAUCUUUUAAACAAACUAAAAGAGUUCUACAAGCAGUUGUUACAGCAAUAAGAAAAUAGCUUGUUGUGUUGUGUCCAAAUACUGGUAGAGUCAACUAAUAAAAGGAUGGACGACCUGACCAGAGAGGUCCAGGACCUGAAGAACAGUUUGCAGUUCUCCCAGGGUCAGCUCCAUGAGUUUAAUCAGGAGAACGAAGUUGACAGCAAUCUCCAGCAGUCUGAGAGACUGUUUAAAGAGACAUCAGUGGUGAGUGGGCAGGCCAACCCAUUUUCUGUGUGAAUUGAAUGAGUGCGACUACGUGUUUCUGCAAGAGAGAGUGUCCAUCAGUGUCCUCUCACUCCUCGUUCCCCCCAUCCCUCCCGCUCUACCAUUGCGCAGAGGAUACAUGGCACAGACUCAGGAAAUUCCACACUUCUCUGUGAGGAGCGAGGGGAGAGGCAGGAGCACAGGAGUGGGCAGAGGAGAACUCUGGAGGAGGAGAGAGGUCAUCUGUGGACUGUAUACGAAUGGAAAGACAAUGACCCAAAACACACUUCCAGGCUGUGUAAGGAGAG